GUGUGAUGUUUAUUAACUUUUGAAAUAGUUAACUUUUGUUUAUUGGACAUAUGGUUAUUUGUUCAUUAAAAUAUUGUAACUAUUUCAUGUUUUAAUGUAUAUUUGUUUUUCUAAUUUGCAAUAGGUAUCACUAUGGGAGAUUCACAACCAAGGGGGAGAUUAUAAGCCGUGGUCUCGAAAGGAGACUAAGUUGUUGGUGCAACUUCUUGAGGAAAAGAUCAACAAUAAUUAGCGUGAUUCUAAUGGCACAAUAAGUAAAUUAACUGUGGAAACGAAUAUUAUAUCGAAAAUCAACAAGUUUUGUCGUUCAAAAAACUACAAUCACUACCAAAACAGAAUGAAGUAUUUUAAAAUACAAUACCAAAUAUAUCUUGAUCUUCAGCGUUUUAGUUGUGGUUUUGGUUGGGAUCUUUUGACAAAAAGAUUUAUGGCUUUUGAUAAAGUUUAGGGCAAUUAUCUAAAAGUAAGUAUCUCAUUUUCUUUUUAAGCGAACAUGGUUGUAUUUACAUGUUAUUAAUUGGUCCUUUUGUUUUUGUUGGCACAUCCAAACAAUAAACAACUUCGUUAUGAUACAUUUGAAUUUUUUGGCGAGUUGCAAAUCAUAUUUGGGGAAAGUGUUGCUACUGGAAAAAAUGCAAUAGGAUUAUGUGAUUGUACGGAUGCACAUACGUACAAAGCUGGAGAGAAACCGAGAGAAGAAUAUGUGGAUGAUUUUGACAAAGGGUAUGAGUAUGAUACUAGAACUCAUCAUGAGUCAUCGGAGCAUUACGCACCAUUUAUGUCUCAUGGAACUUCAGAAAAUCAUAUAGAAAAGCAGAUCUGAGAGAAAUACUGCACAAAAAGAAGAAAGCCGUAUAAUGGUUGCUACCAGUAAACUUUUGGAUAUAAUAUAACAAAGAGAAAAGAGGCAACAAAAAGAAGUGGCACAAAAAAGAAUAACGUUUGGGAUGUUAUGAAAUAAACUUCUAAUUUGGAUGAACAUAUUCGUCAAGGCACUUACCAAAAUUUAUCAUUGGAACACAAGACGUUUUUGUGAGCAUGUCCGUGGAAGAGAGGCUAUGAUAGAUACAAACCAGUAUGGAAUAAAUAUAGUUUUUACUUGUUUUUUUUUAAUAUUUUUUAGGUUUUAAAGUUGUUUUUACGUCGCAUUUUUAUUUUCUUUAUUUUUAAAGUUUUAAUUUGGAUUCACCAAAAAUUUUAUGAAUAAAUUCUUUAUCUUACUUUUUAUUCUAAAACUUCAAAUAGAAAGUUUGGAAAGAAAAAAAGUGGUUAAAGAAGUUUUGUUGGAUUUCGAUUAGA
rnacentral:sRNA from 1 species